NGACCUCAAAUCAGGUAGGACUACCCGCUGAACUUAAGCAUAUCAAUAAGCGGAGGAAAAGAAACUAACAAGGAUUCCCCUAGUAACUGCGAGUGAAGCGGGAAGAGCUCAAAUUUUGAAUCUGGCGGUCUUUGGCCGUCCGAGUUGUAAUCUAGAGAAGUGUUUUCCGCGCUGGACCGUGUAUAAGUCUCCUGGAAGGGAGCGUCGUAGAGGGUGAGAAUCCCGUCUUUGACACGGACUACCAGUGCUAUGUGAUGCGCUCUCGACGAGUCGAGUUGUUUGGGAAUGCAGCUCAAAAUGGGUGGUAAAUUCCAUCUAAAGCUAAAUACAGGCGAGAGACCGAUAGCGAACAAGUACCGUGAGGGAAAGAUGAAAAGAACUUUGGAAAGAGAGUUAAACAGUACGUGAAAUUGCUGAAAGGGAAACGCUUGAUGUCAGUCGUGUCGGCCGGGGAUCAACCUUGCUUCUUCGCUGGGUGUACUUCCCGGUGGACAGGUCAGCAUCAGUUUCGGUCACUGUACAAGGGCGAGGGGAACGUGGCACUCUCCGGGGUGUGUUAUAG
rnacentral:rRNA from 1 species